GACAGAGGUGCCAAGCGUUAGGCGGAAUCACUGGGCUUAAAGCGUGUGUAGGCGGAUCGUUAAGUGCCUUGUGAAAUCCCACGGCUUAACCGUGGAACUGCUCGGCAUACUGGCGGUCUUGAGCCAGCUAGGGGCUACCGGAACAAAUGGUGGAGCGGUGAAAUGCGUAGAUAUCAUUUGGAACGCCAAUGGUGAAAACAGGUAGCUGGGGCUGUGCUGACGCUGAGACACGAAAGCCAGGGGAGCGAAUGGG
rnacentral:rRNA from 1 species